CCUACGGGCGGCAGCAGUGAGGAAUAUUGGUCAAUGGGCGCGAGCCUGAAGCAGCCAAGUCGCGUGAAGGAUGAAUGCCCUACGGGUGGUAACCUUCUUUUAUAGAGGAAUAAAGUGAGGGACGUGUGCCUUUUUGUCUGUGCUUUAUGAAUAAGGAUCGGCUAACUCCGUGCAAGCGGCCGAGGUAUUACGGAGGAUCCAGGUGUUAUCCGGAUUUGUUGGGUGAAAGGGAAACGUAGGUGGUGUGUUAAUGCAGUGGUGAAAGUUUGCGGCUCAACCGUAGAUUGCUAUUUAUACUGGCAGUCUUGAGUACAGGUGAGGUAGGCGGAAUUCGUGGUGUAGCGGUGAAAUGCUUAGAUAUCACGAAGAACUCCGAUUGCGAAGGCAGCUUACUAAACUGCCACUGACAUUGAUGCUCGAAAGUGUGGGUAUCAAACAGGAUUAGAUACCCGUGUAGUC
rnacentral:rRNA from 1 species